CAGUAGCGUAUAUUAAAGUUGUUGCAGUUAAAAAGCUCGUAGUUGGAUUUCUGGUAUGACAAGAAUGUGGUCACUAUCCGCUAGGACGGUGACCCAGUACUCGUCUACCAUCCUUCUAGAAAGCGCGCCUACCCUUCACUGGGCUGGGCGCGUGCUCUAGAUCUUUUACUUUGAAGAAAUUAGAGUGUUCAAAGCAGGCUUGCGCUAUGAAUACAUUAGCAUGGAAUAAUAAGAUAAGACUUGGGUCAUUAUUUUGUUGGUUUGCGGAUCGAGGUAAUGAUUAAUAGGGAUAGUUGGGGGUAUUCAUAUUUAAUUGUCAGAAGUGAAAUUCUUGGAUUUAUGAAAGAUGAACUUAGGCGAAAGCAUUUACCAAGGAUGUUUUCAUUAAUCAAGAACGAAAGUUAGGGAUCGAAGACGAUCAGAUACCAU
rnacentral:rRNA from 1 species